rnacentral:rRNA from 1 species
CGCGUAGGCGGUUUUUUAAGUCAGAUGUGUAAUCCCCGAGCUUAACUUGGGAACUGCAUCUGAGACUGGAAGGCUAGAGUACUGGAGAGGGUGGUGGAAUUCCUCGUGUAGCGGUGAAAUGCGUAGAGAUGAGGAGGAACACCAGUGGCGAAGGCGGCCACCUGGACAGUAACUGACGCUGAGGCGCGAAAGUGUGGGUAGCAAACAGGAUUAGAUACCCUGGUAGUCCACGCUGUAAACGAUGAACACUUGGUGUGGAGGGAGUUGACCCCUUCCGUGCCGGAGCUAACGCGUUAAGUGUUCCGCCUGGGGAGUACGGUCGCAAGGCUAGAA